rnacentral:rRNA from 1 species
CCCGACCGCUGUCGGGGUAGCACUAAGCCAUGGGAGUCUUACACCCCCGGGCAAGGGGGUGUGGCGGACGGCUGAGUAACACGUGGCUAACCUACCCUCGGGAGGGGGAUAACCCCGGGAAACUGGGGAUAAUCCCCCAUAGGGGAGGAGUCCUGGAACGGUUCCUCCCUUAAAGGGGUAUGGGCUAUUUCCUGCUCAUACCCGCCCGAGGAUGGGGCUGCGGCCCAUCAGGCUGUUGGCGGGGUAAUGGCCCGCCAAACCUAUAACGGGUAGGGGCCGUGGGAGCGGGAGCCCCCAGUUGGGCACUGAGACAAGGGCCCAGGCCCUACGGGGCGCACCAGGCGGGAAACGUCCCCAAUGCGCGAAAGCGUGAGGGCGCUACCCCGAGUGCCCCCGUAAGGGGGCUUUUCCCCGCUCUAAAAAGGCGGGGGAAUAAGCGGGGGGCAAGUCUGGUGUCAGCCGCCGCGGUAACACCAGCUCCGCGAGUGGUCGGGACGCUUACUGGGCCUAAAGCGCCUGUAGCCGGCCCACUAAGUCGCCCCUUAAAGACCCGGGCUCAACCCGGGAAAUGGGGGCGAUACUGGUGGGCUAGGGGGCGGGAGAGGCUAGGGGUACUCCCAGAGGAGGGGCGAAAUCCGUAGAUCCUGGGAGGACCACCAGUGGCGGAGGCGCCUAGCUAGAACGCGCCCGACGGUGAGAGGCGAGAGCCGGGGCAGCAAAUGGGAUUAGAUACCCCAGUAGUCCCGGCUGUAAUCGAUGCGGGCUAGGUGUCAGGUGGGCUUAGAGCUCACCUGGUGCCGCAGGGAAGCCGUUAAGCCCGCCGCCUGGGGAGUACGGUCGCAAGACUGAAACUUAAAGGAAUUGGCGGGGGAGCACCACAAGGGGUGGGACCUGCGGCUC